UGUAGUGAAUGAUGAAGUUUUUAUUAAUCAGUUAUCCCUGACUUAAUCCAUACUGUGUCGAGAACUUGAUUUCUGAUUAUAUU
rnacentral:snoRNA from 1 species